UGGACAUGGUGGGUGAGAUCUGGAGGUGGUCUUCAUGGUCAUGGUGGAUGAGAGUUGGGAGCAUCCCCAUGGUCAUAGUGGGUGAGAGCUGGAGGCAUCUUCAUGGUCAUGGUUGGGUGAGAGCUAGGGGCAUCUUCACGGUCAUGGUGGGUGAGAGCUAGGGGCGUCAUCAUGGUCAUGGUGGGUGAGAACUGGGGGCGUCUUCAUGGUCAUGGUGGGUAAGAACUGGGGGCUUCUUCAUGGUCAUGGUGGGUGAGAGCUGGGGGCAUCCCCAUGUCAUGGUGGGCUGAGCCCUACAUGGAAGCCUGUGCUUGGAUAGCAUAGCCCUUUCUCCUGUUUUUCUACAGUGAACAAUUGAACUAUAAGUGUUAAAAAUAUCAGUAAUUUGUGAAAUAAAUGUUAUUCUCAUUUGA